rnacentral:piRNA from 1 species
UGGUGUUUAAGACAUAUGAGCUGGCAGG